rnacentral:tRNA from 1 species
UCUCUGGUAGCUCAGAUGGUAAAAGGAUCUGCCUCCAGUGCAGGAGACCCGGGUUCAAUCCCUGGGUGGGGAA